GCCUGGCUGGCUCAGUUGGUAGAGCAUGCAACUCUUAAUCUCAGGGUGGUGAGUUCAAACCCCAUGUUAGGUA
rnacentral:tRNA from 1 species